rnacentral:lncRNA from 1 species
AAUAGCAUUCACAAUAUCAAAGAAGCAUUACCUGAAAUAUGGGAGAUUGAAGAAGGCAACCAACAGCAAAAGAUUCAACCCCCAGCAGUGGAAACCAUGGUCCUAGCUUGAGUUUUGCGUCAAUGAAAGAUUUUAGCACACUUAUCAAGCAAUCACGGGUUUCAACCUAAGCUUGUGUCUAUAUAAAAAUUUACAAUAAGUUUGAAAUCUCUCCAUAUCAUGGCGAUGCUUAACUAUAUAGAUCUUCAAGUUGGCACG